UUAAGCUAUAGUCAUGUUAAGUAUUCUCAAUAUUUAUAGAAUAUCUAACUAAACAACUAAGAAAUCCUAUAAGAUUAUAGUCAAGAAACAAUACUACAAGGAAUAUUUACCCAAAUGAUCCUCUUCUAGAUGUGCUAUCCAGUAAAAAUAUGAUGGCGAUCGACCAUUUGAAAUAUGUCUGCCAUACAUCCUAUUUGCUUUUCAAAUCGGGAUUUUCAUCUGUCAAUGAAUGUAAAAGCUUGGCAGCCAUUUUUACUCCCCUCUCUUCAAUCAAAUUGUCCAAAACUCUCAAAUGUCUAUAUUAAUUCUAUUACCUCUCCACCCUUGUUUUAGAUUUUAGGCCCAUCUUUAAAAUGCUUCUACUGGCGAUAAUUCACCAAUUGUUAAAACCUGUUUUCUUGACACACAAUUUGAAUAAACCUGGUUUUCCUUGUAUUCUUCCUACCCUUUAUAACAUUAUCAAACAAAAGGGCAAUAAAGCUUCUUUCACCAAUCCCAUAUUCAUGUAAUAUAGCGUUAAUCAUUCCAAGCAGUCAAAGAAAAAUCUUUAAUUACAAGCCAAACUCAAUUAUUUGAGCAUCACUCAAG
rnacentral:lncRNA from 1 species